rnacentral:lncRNA from 1 species
CAGGCAACGAAAUUCAGCGACUAUAAACAAACUAAGAAGAAAAGAGCAUUCGCCACUUCCACGUGCAAAGCGCAGAAAGUGCAGAGGCAGGAGGUGGUGGCAGUGGAAUGAAUGGGGUGUUAGCAAGGCGGAUCACUCAGUGGAAGGCUACGUCCCUUUGGAAGAGGACGAGUGCAAGAAGAAAUGAGCCCUUAUUUAAAUGAUUCUAUAACUAUGUGAAAUAAAAU